CCUGGCUCAGGACGAACGCUGGCGGCGUGCCUAACACAUGCAAGUCGAACGAAGCUCUGGAGUGGAUUCUUCGGAUGAAGCGAAGGAAGACUUAGUGGCGGACGGGUGAGUAACGCGUGAGCAACCUGCCUUUCAGAGGGGGAUAACAGUUGGAAACGACUGCUAAUACCGCAUAACAUAUCGUUGUCGCAUGGCAAUGGUAUCAAAGCUGAGGCGCUGAGAGAUGGGCUCGCGUCCGAUUAGAUAGUUGGUGGGGUAACGGCCUACCAAGUCGACGAUCGGUAGCCGGACUGAGAGGUUGAACGGCCACAUUGGGACUGAGACACGGCCCAGACUCCUACGGGAGGCAGCAGUGGGGGAUAUUGCACAAUGGGCGAAAGCCUGAUGCAGCAACGCCGCGUGAGGGAAGAAGGUUUUCGGAUUGUAAACCUCUGUCUUUGGUGAAGAAGGAAGUGACGGUAGCCAAGGAGGAAGCCACGGCUAACUACGUGCC
rnacentral:rRNA from 1 species